GACGAACGCUGGCGGCGUGCUUAACACAUGCAAGUCGAACGGUAAGGCCCUUCGGGGUACACGAGUGGCGAACGGGUGAGUAACACGUGGGUGAUCUGCCCUGCACUUCGGGAUAAGCCUGGGAAACUGGGUCUAAUACCGGAUAGGACUCCUGGCUUCAUGGUUGGGGGUGGAAAGCUUUUGCGGUGUGGGAUGGGCCCGCGGCCUAUCGGCUUGUUGGUGGGGUAAUGGCCUACCAAGGCGACGACGGGUAUCCGGCCUGAGAGGGUGACCGGUCACACUGGGACUGAGAUACUGCCCAGACUCCUACGGGAGGCAGCAGUGGGGAAUAUUGCACAAUGGGCGCAAGCCUGAUGCGGCGACGCCGCGUGAGGGAUGACGGCCUUCGGGUUGUAAACCUCUUUCAGCUAUGACGAAGCGCAAGUGACGGUAGUAGCAGAAGAAGGACCGGCCAACUACGUGCCAGCCGCCGCCGUAA
rnacentral:rRNA from 1 species